GUGCACCAGUCGCGAAAACUCCGCAAUACGCGAAAGCGUGACGGGGCUACCCCGAGUGUCGUCCGCUGAGGACGACUUUUCCACGCUGUAAGGAGGCGUGGGAAUAAGGAGAGGGCAAGUCUGGUGUCAGCCGCCGCGGUAAUACCAGCUCUCCGAGUGGUAGGGACGAUUAUUGGGCUUAAAGCGUCCGUAGCCGGCUCAGCAAGUCUCCCGUUAAAUCCAACGAUUCAAUCGUUGGACUGCGGGAGAUAUUGUUGAGCUAGGAGGCGGGAGAGGCCGACGGUAUUCCCGGAGUAGGGGUGAAAUCUUAUAAUCCCGGAAGGACCACCAGUGGCGAAGGCGGCCGACAAAAACGCGCCCGACGGUGAGGGACGAAAGCUGGGGGAGCGAUCGGGAGUAGAUACCCGGGUAGUCC
rnacentral:rRNA from 1 species